GUAAAUAUAGCUUAAUACAAAGCACUAGAUUGUGAAUCUAGAGUUAGAGGCUUAACACCUCUUAUUCACC
rnacentral:tRNA from 2 species